rnacentral:ncRNA from 1 species
CGAGAGCAGCUUGGCGAUGUAGGGGAUCAGCGGCAGGUUCAGGAUCAGCAGGAUCACGUUGCCGAGAUACAUCGAGAUGAUGACCGCCCAGAAGAUCUCGGGGCUGUCCACCAUCAGCCGCGGCCC